rnacentral:piRNA from 1 species
UACAUACUGCAAGAGAGAAAUCUGAGG